rnacentral:rRNA from 1 species
UGAGCCUGCGUAAGAUUAGCUUGUUGGUAAGGUAAUGGCUUACCAAGGCUACGAUCUUUAGCUGGUCUGAGAGGACGAUCAGCCACAUUGGGACUGAGACACGGCCCAGACUCCUACGGGAGGCAGCAGUGGGGAAUAUUGGACAAUGGGCGCAAGCCUGAUCCAGCCAUACCGCGUGUGUGAAGAAGGCCUUCGGGUUGUAAAGCACUUUAAGCAGGGAGAAAAAGUUAUAAGUUAAUACCUUAUAACCGUGAUGUUACCUGCAGAAUAAGCACCGGCUAAUUCCGUGCCAGCAGCCGCGGUAAUACGGAAGGUGCAAGCGUUAAUCGGAAUUACUGGGCGUAAAGCGCGCGUAGGUGGUUUGUUAAGUUGGAUGUGAAAGCCCUGGGCUCAACCUAGGAACUGCAUCCAAAACUAACUCACUAGAGUACGAUAGAGGGAGGUAGAAUUCAUAGUGUAGCGGUGGAAUGCGUAGAUAUUAUGAAGAAUACCAGUGGCGAAGGCGGCCUCCUGGAUCUGUACUGACACUGAGGUGCGAAAGCGUGGGUAGCGAACAGGAUUAGAUACCCUGGUAGUCCACGCCGUAAACGAUGACAACUAGCUGUUGGGAGACAAUGUCUUUCAGUGGCGCAGCUAACGUUUUAAGUUGUCCGCCUGGGGAGUACGGCCGCAAGGCUAAAACUCAAAUGAAUUGACGGGGACCCGCACAAGCGGUGGAGCAUGUGGUUUAAUUCGAUGCAACGCGAAAAACCUUACCUACUCUUGACAUACUUGGAAGCUCUUGUAAUGAGAGUGUGCCUUUUGGAGCCCAAGA